ACAAAUACAUUUUGAGUCCUUGGAGACUUGAAAAGAUUAAAAUCAAAACUAAGAAGAAAAUAAGCAAGUUUCUUUAACAUCUAUAUCUCGAUAGACCCUCAAUUUCAUAUUACUACAUUUGUGGAAAAGGACACAAAUUUAAAAUCUUUUGAAUUCUUUUUUUUAAAGGAAGCCAACUAGAGGCCUUUGUGGAUACUUUUAAAGGCAGUGAGGAUUAAAUUAAAUCUUUUCCAGUUCAAUUCAAAGUGUGUAUUACAACCUGUUGGUGAUAUAUAUUGAGAUAUACAUUGGUGAUAUAUAUGAGAUAUACAUAUUCUUUGCUAUGUCAGGCUUCAAGCACAUUAGAGAAAAACUCUUAGUUAAAAUCAUAGAAUCCAAAAUUGAAUCCUUAGCUAUAUUGGGUUCUUAUUAAACAAACAAACAAACAAACAAAAAACUUCAGAAAAUAAUAAUCUGAGAGACACGUGGCAUUUCUAUACUUUAUUUAUUUUCUAUUUUUUGGGGGGGUUGGGGGAUUUUAACUCAUGGACACUCAACCACUGAGCCAUAUCCCCAGACCUGUUUUAUAUUUUAUAUACAGACAGGGUCUCACUGAGUUGCUAAGUGCCUCACUCAUUGCUGAAGCUGGGUUUGAACUCAUGAUCCUCCUAUCUUAGCUACCUGAGCCACUGGGAUUGCAGGUGUGUGCCACUGUACCCAGCUCCAUAAUUUAUUUUGAUCCAUUUAGUGGUAUGACAGAUAAACAAGGUCAUUCCUUUUAUACCCAUCAAAAUUUAUAGAAAAGAACAUAUUUCCCUCUCCCUCUCAUUAAAAAUAAGAGCUACAGUUAUCUGGGCAUGGUGGCACAUGCCUGUAAUUAUAGCUAUUUGGGAAACUGAGGCAGGAAAACUCCUUGUUCUAGGCCAGCCUAGGCAACUUAAUGAGACCCCCAAAAAUUAAAAUGGCUAUGGGGUGUAUCUCAGUAGUAGAGUGUUUGCUUAGUAUGCUUGAGACCUGGAGUUUAAUCCCCAAUACUGAAAAAAGGGUACUACUUCCUAACAAGGCUUUUUUUUUUUUUAAAUUAAUACAUUACCAACAAUUCUAUUUACAAUUUCUUCAUCCUGGGCAGUGUGAACACCUGUUCUUCCUUGUUGAAAUUUCUUCUCUUAAAUAUAUGUCUCAGGUACUUAUGCAGUCAGUUUGCUUUUCUGUUCUCCAAAAACAACAAAAAUAAAUAUAAAACAGCUUACUUAUAAAAAAGAUCACCCUUAAAUUCUUUUUGUGUGUGUGUGUGUGUGUGUGUGUUUCUGUGAUUGACCAGUUUGUAUAUUGAUAAUUGAGUAUUCUCUAGCACUUGGCUUUUUGAACUUUGGGUUUUGUUUCUUGGAUUUGGUUAUUCAGGGUUAAAUGUUUAAAUAUACAUUCUGUUUGUUUCUACAAAAGAGGACUAAUAUUUGCCUUGUUGCUAAUGUAAUUCAUUAGGCAACAGUUAAGCUUACAGUUAGGUCAUCCUAAUUGUUGAGUAACAGAAUUCAGAUUCAUUGGCUUUAAAUCACAAAUUAUAGUCUAUAUGUUAGUGAUUAAUUUAUAAUCCAUUUCUCAUCUUGAAAUUUAGAAAGGGCAGAUUUAGGAACAGUUAGCCAUAUUCUUUCUAUGUACAAUGCCAAAUAUAAUUAUGCAAACAAUAAAACUAUUAUACCCAUGUUGCAGUGUGUAUCUCUCAAACCUAAGUCAGUAGAUUGAAUAAGGAUUAAAGAGGUUAAGAGGAAAAAAGCUACUGCUCCAUUUCAAAUGAAGAUAUGCAAUAUAAGCACAGAAGUUUAUCCAACAACAAUAGUUUUAACCUAAAACUUUUUAAAACGUGUAACACAUUUUAUUAUUGUAUUAAUGAUUACUCUGUGCAUUUGGCUAAGAUCAGGUGUAUAGUUUUAGUAAAAAAAAAAUAGGGAUUAUUUGCCAAUGCUGAUUUUAUUAGCAUAUAAUGAUAAAAUCAAUUCAUGGGAAUACCUAAGAACUACAACCAUUGAGGCAUGUAUAAAUUGGUUUGGGGGCACUAAGUGAAAAAUACAUUGAUUUUCAAAGCAGGUAAGUCCCCUUUUUUAUGUGAGGUCAUUAAAAUCUGUGUUAAAACAAGAUUUUUCAAUGGAAGUUGCUAUCCUAAACUCAGCAUUUGCUUGAAAUGGAUGAUGCUAUUCCCAGUUAUCCCAGCAAAGGUAUGAUGGUAAGCAAUGAAGCAAAUCUAGAGAAAAAUAGAGAACAGGCUUAGAGAUAGCUCGAGAACUUAUCUUUACAUCAGAAGCCUUUCAUUGUAAUUUUUAAUCCACACUUUUCCAAGACAAUACAACCAUAGGACUUAAAAUUAAUAAUAUUCUAAGGGAUUUCUGAGUCUUAAGGUAAAAACAAAUUCUAAAUCUUAAGGUUAUGACAACUUGAAAUGCUCUUGAGGCCAAAUCUCAAUAUAUUUGGCAAAUGUGUUAGUAAAAUCUAAUUCCUUUUCUUUGUUUCUUGAAAACAAUCUUUACUGGGCAACCAAACUGCCAGAGGAGUGGCUACAAUGGAGAAUAAUCAAAUUUAGAUUAAGAGAUUUAUUCUAGGAAAGUGAUUAGAGUAUACACCUAAUUAGAAAGACAAGCAGCAGUAUACAUGUUCUAUUACAUGCUGUCAAUUCUUGCAUUUUUUAAACUCAAUGGAUAGACAGGAACAGAACAAAGGGAAAAAGAGGUACACAGAAGUAAAAUGAUCAAUGAAAGAAUCUGAGAGAUUUUAGGGAAUAUAUGUCAGGAAGACAGCAAUUAAGUGACAUUUGGCAGUAGGCAUUGAGAAUUUAUCUUUCAGUUUACUUAGCAAGUUAAAAUAGUGCUUUUUUUUUACACUUGACUAAUUUCAUCUUUCAUUUUUAAAUAACUCAUACCAUGAGUUGGUGGGAGAGGAUAAAUAAUUAAAACAGGAUUUUAUGAAGAUGACAGAGGGAAAAGUGAUCAAGAAGAACUAGUGACAAAAAACAAGUUUUAAACAUUGAGACUACUGAAAAUGAGACUCAGCAAACCAAAGCUAUAAUUUCUGCAUUAUCUUUUAUCCUCAAUAUACUACUAUAAAAAUGGUAGCCAAGCAAACCACAAACAUUGUAAUUGUUUAUAGUUGGAUUAUAAGUCUCCUGCACAUGCUUCAACCAAAACAGAGAAGGAAAAACCAAAGAAGUUCCUUUCCACAUAAGGCACAGAGCAAAACUAACCCCAUUUAUAUAUUCAAGGUGAAAAGGAGUAUUUUCCUGGCUUUUCUUUCUUUUGAUAUCAUGUGUUUAUAGAUUAUACUGACUCAAGCACCUUAUUCAUUGCAGAAGAGUCCAU
rnacentral:lncRNA from 1 species